GUAGGUGGCAAGCGUUGUCCGGAAUUAUUGGGCGUAAAGCGCGCGCAGGCGGUCCUUUAAGUCUGAUGUGAAAGCCCACGGCUCAACCGUGGAGGGUCAUUGGAAACUGGGGGACUUGAGUACAGAAGAGGAAAGCGGAAUUCCAAGUGUAGCGGUGAAAUGCGUAGAGAUUUGGAGGAACACCAGUGGCGAAGGCGGCUUUCUGGUCUGUAACUGACGCUGAGGCGCGAAAGCGUGGGGAGCAAACAGGGAUUAGAUACCCUGGUAGUCCACGCCGUAAACGAUGAAUGCUAAGUGUUAGGGGGGUUUCCGCCCCUUAGUGCUGCAGCUAACGCAUUAAGCACUCCGCCUGGGGAGUACGGCCGCAAGGCUG
rnacentral:rRNA from 1 species